UGCCUACGGGGGGCAGCAGUGAGGAAUAUUGGUCAAUGGGCUUACGCCUGAACCAGCCAAGCCGCGUGAGGGAGGAAGGUACAGAGUAUCGUAAACCUCUUUUGUCAGGGAACAAAGGCGGGGACGUGUCCCCGGAUGAGUGUACCUGAAGAAAAAGCAUCGGCUAACUCCGUGCCAGCAGCCGCGGUAAUACGGAGGAUGCGAGCGUUAUCCGGAUUUAUUGGGUUUAAAGGGUGCGCAGGCGGUCUGUUAAGUCAGCGGUCAAAGCCCGGGGCUCAACCCCGGCCCGCCGUUGAAACUGGCCC
rnacentral:rRNA from 1 species